rnacentral:rRNA from 1 species
AGAGUUUGAUCCUGGCUCAGGACGAACGCUGGCGGCAUGCCUAACACAUGCAAGUCGAACGAGACCUUCGGGUCUAGUGGCGCACGGGUGCGUAACGCGUGGGAAUCUGCCCUUGGGUACGGAACAACAGUUAGAAAUGACUGCUAAUACCGUAUAAUGACUUCGGUCCAAAGAUUUAUCGCCCAGGGAUGAGCCCGCGUCGGAUUAGCUAGUUGGUGAGGUAAAAGCUCACCAAGGCGACGAUCCGUAGCUGGUCUGAGAGGAUGAUCAGCCACACUGGGACUGAGACACGGCCCAGACUCCUACGGGAGGCAGCAGUGGGGAAUAUUGGACAAUGGGGGAAACCCUGAUCCAGCAAUGCCGCGUGAGUGAUGAAGGCCUUAGGGUUGUAAAGCUCUUUUACCCGGGAUGAUAAUGACAGUACCGAGAGAAUAAGCCCCGGCUAACUCCGUGCCAGCCGCCGCGGUAAUAC